UACGUAGGGUGCAAGCGUUAAUCGGAAUUACUGGGCGUAAAGCGUGCGCAGGCGGUUCGUUAAGACAGAUGUGAAAUCCCCGGGCUUAACCUGGGAACUGCAUUUGUGACUGGCGAGCUAGAGUAUGGCAGAGGGGGGUAGAAUUCCACGUGUAGCAGUGAAAUGCGUAGAGAUGUGGAGGAAUACCGAUGGCGAAGGCAGCCCCCUGGGCCAAUACUGACGCUCAUGCACGAAAGCGUGGGUAGCAAACAGG
rnacentral:rRNA from 1 species